AGUGAUUAAUUGAAGGCCUCUGUGCCCUCUUGUUUAUUUUAAAAGAACAAGGGGAAGCUUCAUUUGCAUGAGAUUUAAGGAAAAGGCUUCUGAGGUUCUUUGGUUAUUUGCAGACUUUCGUUCCAAGUGGAAACUGAUGUUUCUAUUGAUGCAGUGCCUCACUUGGUGUUGGACGUUUCUAUUGAUGCAGUGCCUCACUUGGUGUUGGACGGCAGGGGAAAGAAUUUGAAAUCAGGAAAAUGGAAACAUCAUUCACUAGAAACAGUUGAAGUUGCCAGAACCAGUGGCUGACAGAGGGAUAAGACACAAGGACAGUGAAGGACUAAGUAAGAGACAAAAGAACAGAAGAUUUAUCAAGACUUUAAAAGAAACAUCAACAAGUUUUGCUGUUUUCCCAGGCAGGCUGCUAUUCAAAAGAGUUAAUGAACUAGAGAAAACCUAGAUGGACAGAAACGUGUUUCAAGAUGCCCAACUGGAUUUGGGUUAUAAUAAGAGAUAUGUGUUUUAUUUCAUAUUUGAAGAGAGUCUACUUUGUUUCUAUGAGCAAUCAGUCUUCCUUUGGAGCCAUAGAAACAACUCUGCCUCUUUUCCAAGAACUAUUCAGAGUUUGAAAUCAGGUCAAUUUUGUCUGCUAAAAUUUAAAAUUUUUUUCUACAUUCUUCUUAAGAAUAUCUUCCAGAAAACAUUUGCAAUAUGACAAGCAGAAAUCUAUCAGGAAGAUGGAAGUCAGAGGAUAAUGUAGCUCAUCACUGGAAUUCUUCAUAACGCUUUU
rnacentral:lncRNA from 1 species